CGCGCGCGUGGCCGUCCUGAGGGGCCGGGGUGCUCCCGCUCCCCUUAUCCCGGGAGUUGCUCUCUUUUUCGAGGGGCUCCCGCUCCCCUCACCCCGGGAGUUGUUUCCUUUCUCGAGGGGCUGCGGAGCUCUGGCUCCCCCGCCCCCCAGAGAAUUGUUCCCUUCCCGAGGAGAAGCUGGACGAGGGGGUUUCCUGGGGUCACCCGGCGGGGCUCGAGUCCCUCUUCCUUCCCUUACCAAACCCGGUUGUCCCUCGGCGGCCUCCCUUGUUGUACUCGGAAAAAGAAAGUAAAGGGAAAGUUCAGAGCGUUGUAAUCUGAGUCUCGGAGGGGUUGUGUUAAUAUUGCCAUUCUUAUGUUGGAGGGAUUGAGACUUUUAAACAGCGCUGAGCGUGUCCUUGGUAAGAGAGGAGAGCUGGGGGAGACUGGAAUUUGGGGUGUGUUAUAGGAGGAUUAGCUGUGGUGCGUAAGCUCGGAGAGGAAGGCCAUUGUCUCCAAAAUGAGCAUUUCUUUUGCUUGUCGAAGAGCUUUCUAACAGGGGAAGUUCCCUAUUCUAUGCUCUGGUGUUCUCAGCACAGGGGCUGAGAAGCAAUGGAAACAAAUUUGGCUCCUAAAACAUUUCUUUGCUUUCUACCUGCAAAAAGGAUGAGGAUGGGGCCUGCUGGGAUUUGAGGUGUUAUCUCAGAACAUUGCACUGUUCAUUGGGUGCUGUCUUGUCAAGAGAUCAACAUUUCAACUGCCCCUUGACACUGGCUUUUUAAAACAAGUUAGAGCAGGAAGGUAUUUUCCAACGUAUAGUUGGAUACCCUCAGCUCUCUCACGGAGAGAGGAGGAAAUGGAAGGGUUGAAAAUACACUGAGAGCAGAAAGCCACAAUACAGAAGGACUAAACAGGUGAGAGAUUAUAGUGCUCUGUACAUGUGACCAGUGGUGAAGCAAAAUAAAAUAUGUAGACAAGUGGCAGAUGAGCAACUUGACAGUUUACCCUGCAGUGUCCUGCGAGUGGGAAAAUAUGCUUGUUUCGAGGCUAAAGAUGGUGGUUGAACCUAUUUCUUCACUGCCAGCUGCACUAGCUGCUGUAUUUUAUGUUCCAAGGCAUAAAGUGGAGUAUGCAAGUGACUCAAAGGAGCUGGAAAUUCUAAUAAGUUUGUAUAAUAUAUGAUGAAGUUGCAUUUCUACAAAGUGACUAGCUUUGAUAUCAUGAAAGUUGCUUUUAGCAGAAAGUGCAAGCAAGCUUACCACGUUAUCUCUAAAC